AAGAAAAAUGAGGGACAAGGACGUUUUGUUUUUGUUUUGUUUUUUACAACAAAAUGACAGGAACAUUUGACGUCAUAUAAAAUAAAGAUGAAAACUUAGACAACCUGCUUAUCAAGGACACAGAAAAACCCUUUAAAUAUUAAACUUAGGAGAUCAUGGGGAGGAUGGGAGUAACAUCUAAAUCCUCUCUGAGUGGCCUUUCAGCUUUUAUUGGUACCGGUUUUCCUUCACUGUGGAUCAAGUAAAUCUGUUAUCAGCUUCCGCCAACAUCUUUACAAGGGCAGGGCAGCGGUGUGUAUCGCUGAUGUAACAGUGCAUUCGGGAAGAAAAAAAAAAGCACAUAAACACACAUCAGGCCUCCAUCCUGUUCAGCCAGGUGCCAGUGUUCAAGAAGGCACCAAAGGAGAUUCACUUCACCUCCCAUGUUUGACGCCUCACCCCUUCGCUAUCGGCUCAAGAGGAAGCAGAAGGUCGGCGUGUUCGAGGUGACGGGAAGCAAGUCGGGGCUCAACACCGAUGGUCUCAGUCGGACAGGUCAUGCUGAACCUUGGAGAAAGAGAGCGUUUACAAAUACGUGAGAAUGUUUAAUAUGCCCACACCUACUGCAUAUGCAAAUGAACGCCACGGGUCACAGCACAGCCGUUUGUGAUGUUCGUGGGAGAAAUACAGAAUAGAGCUCGUGCUGACUGCAUGUUUUAGGAAAACAUAGAGUUUCUACAAAUGGUGACUCAAAUUCAUUUACACAUCUUUUUUUUUUUUUUUCCUUUUCAGUAAGGUUGGUUUUGUUGAUUUCAGCAUGUAUCACAUUGUCAUGUUUACAGCAGCCAAAGUGAAGCAUUUCAUUCUUCAAGAGCUGCUUCUUCUGCAUCAUUUUAACAUUAAAAUAAAAUGAAGAACUUAAAACAUUCAAAUUAUAAACAAAUAAUGAGCAUACUGUAUAAGUUUUAGGGGCCAAUAAAUGUAUAAGUGAAAUGUAGUAUAAAGCAGUUUAUAAAAUGUAAUAUAAAAUAAGCCUGGUAUUGUUUUAUUUUCAAAUGUUAUGCU